rnacentral:snRNA from 1 species
GUGCUCGCUUCAGCAGCACAUAUACUAAAAUUGGAAAGAUACAGAGAAGACUAGCAUGGCCCCUGUGCAAGGAUGACAUGCAAAUUUGUGAAGCAUUCCAUAUUAAA